rnacentral:rRNA from 1 species
CUGUACAGGCCUGUGCUAGAAUUUAAAGUAGAGUUUGCCUGCUUUAAGCCUGUUUCGCUACCUCAACCGGACUGAGGAGCUUUUUUUUGUGGACGAGGGUGCGCCCAGCGCUCCUCCGGUUUGUUCAGAGACGUGGCCUCGUCCUUGGCUCUCUCUCUCUCUCAGGUGACGGGCAGACGCGGUUUCGGGGCGUACCUCUAGGAGGUUGUUCCGUGAUACAGCUACAAGGGCCCCUACCUAGAAUGCUUUUACCUAGGAGGUUGAGAAUGGGAGGAACCUCGUCGAACAACACAUUACAACAGAUACGUAAAGUGUCAUGUCGACCAUAGUGUCGUAGAAAAGAUAACCUUUUUAGGGUUUCUCGUCUUCCGAUAUGAGUAAUAUCACGACUACGGAGGUAACAUACGAUAUUGAAGGAAACGACCAGAAGACCUAUAAUUCCCUUCGUUUUGUAAAAAAUGUACGAACCUCAGACAAUUUCUUACGAUACUUCGUGACCAAUAACGAUUCAAAGACCGUAACUACAUGUCGAUGAAUUUAUAUAGAUAGUCAUCUUUGUAACAUGGACUACUUUAGUUUCCCUCCCACGAAGUAGUAAGAAAGGGACAAAGAGAAAAGGACGGGGCAUUACAAGCCAACCUCGUGUUCUGUGAAUUCGAAGACUUCAUGACCUGGACCGUUAAACAACAACAAUCCGGUCAUACGAGGUAAGACUAACAACGUGAAGUCGACGAACCCAACAUGGGGUCGACCCAGUCGACCUGGAAGUGUUAAUAUGAAUUGAAAAGUCAGAGGUACCGUAAUAUACGGAACCAGUAUAAGAUAGUGAACAAACGAUUCCUCGACCGUGGAGUGUUCGGAGAACGAUUCAAGAACACGUAGUUUCCCUAUCAGAAGAAGAGAAAGACCGUCCCGACACGCAACCUACAAAACCGACCACAUCCCCAAUAAGUUAGAGUGGUAAAGACCGACCUGCACCUCGUGUAGGUCCUCCGUUAGGUCUUACACAACUAAUAGGACCUUUACCAGUAAAAGAGUCAAGAGGUCGUCAUGCGCAUAGUGCAACGAGGCAUGUCACCGCGACUGUUCCGUUUUAAGCUCUUCUUCUUACUUACUGGGCGGUUCGUUGUAUUCGUCGAACAAGAACAUACCAAAACACACAUACACGACCCCUAUACAAUAUCUGUACUCAUGAAGGAAUACCCGUGCACAUCUCACUCGGCAAUAUGCAACUUGUAAUCUUUUUGCUCUACUAGUCCUUGUAUCUCCUUACGGUGACAAUAGACGCGACACUUUGAUACAUUACGGGCUUAUUCCUCUUAAAACCUCAAAAAAGGCGAGGCUUCACCUCAGGACUUAUUUACAACCAAAGCACAACUUUAGUACCACACAGGUACAACAAACGACUUGAAUUGCGUCGUGAUGUAUUCCACAAAAAAAAAGUCCUCACACCUGAAAACCACUGGCUCGAGGUUCCUCGAACCACGAAAUUUAAAAUUUUUCAACUCUUCCG